rnacentral:rRNA from 1 species
AGUGAACGCUGGCGGCAGGCCUAACACAUGCAAGUCGAACGGCAGCACAGGGGAGCUUGCUCCCUGGGUGGCGAGUGGCGGGCGGGUGAGGAAUACAUCGGAAUCUGCCCAGUCGUGGGGGAUAACCUCGGGAAACCGGGACUAAUACCGCAUACGACCUUAGGGUGAAAGCGGAGGACCGCAAGGCUUCGCGCGAUUGG